rnacentral:tRNA from 3 species
AAGAAAGUGGCAGAGUGGUUAUGCGGUUGGCUUGAAACCAACAUAUGGGGGUUCAAUUCCUUCCUUUCUCG